ensembl:lncRNA
AUGGCGUAGGAGUUGUAGUAGUAGUAGUAGGUGAUGUAGUUGUAGUGGUUGGGGGUGUGGUCGUGGUGGGCGUUUCAGUAGUAGUUGUUGUAGAUGGUGUUGGCGUAGGAGUUGUAGUAGUAGUAGUAGUAGGUGAUGUAGUUGUAGUGGUUGGGGGUGUGGUCGUGGUGGGCGUUUCAGUAGUAGUUGUAGAUGGUGUUGGCGUAGGAGUUGUAGUAGUAGUAGUAGGUGAUGUAGUUGUAGUGGUUGGGGGUGUGGUCGUGGUGGGCGUUUCAGUAGUAGUUGUUGUAGGUGGUGUUGUAGUAGUCAUUGAUGUAGUGGUAGAAUGACAGGGGAUCUCACAGCACACUCUGAUCUUAUAGUUUCGACACUUCCUUUUAUAAGGCUGGUCUUGCUGUCUACAGAUCAGUCCAUAGGAGACAUUGCAGGUGACCACUUGCUGUGUGCCGCUCACAAAAUCCUCAAAGCUCAUGUCUGGAAACUCACUCGAUCUGCAGUCGAUCUCUGUAGGUGAAUCACAUAUCACAAGACCACUGUCUGUAAUGUUUUUAUACGUCUCCCAGUCACUUCUGUCGACUUGAUUGUCUGGGUGAUGAACGUCAUACCAAUCCGACCACUCACAGGUGGGGAUGCAUGGUGUGGGAGUGAUGGUAGGUGUUGUAAUUGUAGUAGUUGUAGUGGUUGGGGUUGUGGUCGUGGUGGG